GACGAACCGUGCGAACGUUAUUCGGAAUCACUGGGCUUAAAGCGCGUGUAGGCGGGUCGGCACGUCCGUGGCUGAAAGCCCCCGGCUCAACCGGGGAAGUGGCGCGGAUACGGCCGAUCUGGAGGGGGGUAGGGGAGACUGGAAUUCCUGGUGUAGCGGUGAAAUGCGCAGAUAUCAGGAGGAACACCGAUGGCGAAGGCAGGUCUCUGGGCCAUAACUGACGCUGAGAAGCGAAAGCAUGGGGAGCGAACAGG
rnacentral:rRNA from 1 species